rnacentral:lncRNA from 1 species
CAGUUUACUAAUAUAAUACCUCUCUCACACAGCUAUCCCAGGAGGAGGAGCAGCUCUCUGAAAAGCAGGAAGUGUCACAGGUAAUUUGGUCCCUUGUUUUAAAGUUGGCACGUUUAUGAGUGCAAUAUAAUAUCUCUUUAGUUUUAUAAAAAAAAAAAAAAAAAAAAAAAGACACCAUCAACAAUGACGUAAGACUAGAUUUCCAUGAAGGACCCGGAAUAUAGGUAGGCAGGCCAGUCCACUGUUUCGUUUUCCGGGUUGAAAGGACUCCAUCCCCGGGGUUCCUGCCUCCUUCCCUCUCCGGAGACUGGGCUGAGCUUUAAGGCUGCAGAGCGCCCCAGCGGCAAGAGGCAGGGCUGGGGAGGGGGGGGGGGGUCCUCGCUCGCCUCCGCUUCGCUCGCUCCUCGCCCGCCCGCCCGCCUCCCAGCCAGGGAAGGUUAGCGGGGGAUCAAUGUGAUUCGGGCCGCAGGAGAGGAAAGAUGAGCCUGCCCGCCCGCCUGCUGCCUGGAUGCGAAGGCUGAGGGCCGGCGCACGGGAGGCCGCUUGCUGCGCAGUCUGGGCGCCGGGCGCCCGGGAUGAGCUCACGCCAGCGUGUGCGGCUCGGUCCACCUGCCGACCUGCCGGCGGGCCCCUGAGCUGACGGCGCACCUGGGCUGCAGCCCCGCCGGCCCGCUCUGGCCGCAGCGUUGGGCGCGGCGCCCGGGAGCAGGUGUGCAGGAGCGCGGCGCGCGGCGAGCGCAGCCCUCGCCCCCGAGCCCGGCCGCGCCGCGUGCCCGGGCGGCUCGGCUGCAGCGGCGGCGGCGGCGGGCGGGCGGCGGCCCCCGGGCGGGUGGCGAGCGAGAGGAGCCCGGCGGAGCGCCGGGGGCAAAGCCGGAGCGGCGCUAGCGGGCGGAGCUUCACCCAGUUGGUAUGAGAGUUUCCUGGAUGAGUUUUCUCCUGACAGAACAGGAAGUGAAAUGGACUCUUACUCAUCGUUCUCACGUAAUGUUGGUCUUUCAUGGAACCCAGGAUGCUGUAGGCUUGAGUUCUUCUGUAUCUGUUCUUCUGUUGGGGAAAGGGAUCCAGGUGAACCUGUUAUUUCAAGGGUGGGCAGGACACGACCACUUCGCUCCACUUGCUGGCUAAGUCUUCUCCUUGCACAGUCCCCAUGCUCUUUCCCUGCUAAUAUCUGGGCACAAUCCUGCUGUUUCCUGCCUGUGCCUGGGUCAGAGAAGAGGCAGAGGUUCAUCCUCAUUCAAAAGCUGGCUCCUGUGCCUGAGACCUGUCUGCCCUAA